rnacentral:rRNA from 1 species
UACGGAAGGGGCAAGCGUUGUUCGGAAUCAUUGGGCGUAAAGGGCGCGUAGGUGGUUCUGUGUGUCUACCGUGAAAGCGUACGGCUCAACCGUAUUUUGUCGGUAGAAACUGCAGGACUUGAGGCUGGGAGGGGCUGGUGGAAUUCCUGGUGUAGCGGUGGAAUGCGCAGAUAUCAGGAGGAACACCGGUGGCGAAGGCGGUUCUCUGGGCCUGUACUGACGCUGAGGAACGAAAGCGUGGGGAGCGAACAGG